rnacentral:rRNA from 1 species
CCUGAGAAACGGCUACCACAUCCAAGGAAGGCAGCAGGCACGCAAAUUACCCACUCCCGGCACGGGGAGGUAGUGACAAAAAAUAACGAUACGGGACUCAUCCGAGGCCCCGUAAUCGGAAUGAGUACACUUUAAAUCCUUUAACAAGGAUCCAUUGGAGGGCAAGUCUGGUGCCAGCAGCCGCGGUAAUUCCAGCUCCAAUAGCGUAUAUUAAAGUUGUUGCAGUUACUUGGCAAAUGCUUUCGCGGUGAAAUUCUUGGACCGUCGCAAGACGGACUAGAGCGAAAGCAUUUGCCAAGUAUGUCUUAGUUGAUCAAGAACGAAAGUUAGAGGUUCGAAGGCGAUCAGAUACCGCCCUAGUUCUAACCAUAAACGAUGCCAGCCAGCGAUCCGCCGGUGUUCCUAGAAUGACUCGGCGGGCAGCUUAGGGGAAACCAAAGCUUUUGGGUUCCGGGGGAAGUAUGGUUGCAAAGCUGAAACUUAAAGGAAUUGACGGAAGGGCACCACCAGGAGUGGAGCCUGCGGCUUAAUUUGACUCAACACGGGAAACCUCACCAGGCCCGGACAUUGGAAGGAUUGACAGAUUGAUAGCUCUUUCUUGAUUCAGUGGGUAGUGGUGCAUGGCCGUUCUUAGUUGGUGGAACGAUUUGUCUGGUUAAUUCCGAUAACGAACGAGACUC